rnacentral:tRNA from 1 species
UCCAUAAUGGUUCAGUGGCUAAGAUUCUGCACUGCCAAUGCAGGGGGUCUGGAUUCAAUCCCUGGUCAGGGAA